CGGCAGUGGGGCCGGAGCCGCUGCCCCCCCCCAAGAAGCGCUACCCCACGGCAGAGGAGAUCCAGGUCAUCGGGGGGUACCUGGCGCUGCCGCGCUCCUGCCUGGCCAAGAGCCACCCCCACCGCAAGAAGCUGAAGAUCUGGUUCAGCGAGCGGGACCUGGAGCGCACCUUCUCUUACCCAUCGGAGGGGGCGCUGCUGGCGGCCUGGGGACCCCCCGAGGAGCCCCCGCCCCCCCCAGGGCCCGCCCCCGACGAUGAAGAGGAGGAGGAGGAGCCCCCCCAUGGGCGGGGGGGGCCGGGGGGGCUGCGGGCGCGAGCCUUGCUCGUGGAUGAAUCCUGCCGCCGGUAACCCCGGCCUCUGCCCCACGGCCGGGGGGGGGGG